UGGGGAAUAUUGGACAAUGGGCGCAAGCCUGAUCCAGCCAUGCCGCGUGAACGAUGAAGGCCUUAGGGUUGUAAAGUUCUUUUGUCAGGGAAGAUAAUGACGGUACCUGAAGAAUAAGCACCGGCUAACUUCGUGCCAGCAGCCGCGGUAAUACGAAGGGUGCUAGCGUUGUUCGGAAUCACUGGGCGUAAAGCGCGCGUAGGCGGCGAUAUAAGUCAGAGGUGAAAGCCUGGAGCUCAACUCCAGAACUGCCUUUGAAACUAGGUCGCUAGAAUCACGGAGAGGUGAGUGGAAUUCCGAGUGUAGAGGUGAAAUUCGUAGAUAUUGGGAAGAACACCAGUGGCGAAGGCGGCUAACUGGUCCGGUACUGACGCUGAGGUGCGAAAGCGUGGGGAGCAAACAGGAUUAGAUACCCAAGUAGUCCCUGAGCGGGCUGGCAAGGCGCAU
rnacentral:rRNA from 1 species